CUGCACUGGUGUCCAUGCAAAAAGAAUCAGGGGAAAGUCGAGAAAAGUGUCUGGAGAGUCUUGCAGGAAUGAAUCCUACGAAUAAGAAUACAACACCUUCUCAGGUGGCUGAACUAGUUACCUUUCUUUGCUCCCCGGCAGCAGACAAUACGACAGGGACAGCUAUUCCAGUAGAUGGUGGAUAUACAGCGCAAUAGACGCUUAACCAUUUCUAGUGUCAUGUCCAGUGCAAAAAAACGGUCUUAUUUCUGUCACUGCUUACAAAGCAAAAUCUUAAAAGAACCUUGUUCAUAAUUCCAUUCUAUACGGGCCAAUAUAUAGCAUUCAUUGUCAUUUGGGAAAGUUUGAAAAGAAGCUUGUACAUUUUUUGUGGAUUAAA